CCUACGGGAGGCAGCAGUGAGGAAUAUUGGUCAAUGGGCGAAAGCCUGAACCAGCCAAGUCGCGUGAAGGAUGACGGCCCUACGGGUUGUAAACUUCUUUUGUCAGGGAGCAAUUGGGUCCACGCGUGGGCUUAGCGAGAGUACCUGAAGAAAAAGCAUCGGCUAACUCCGUGCCAGCGGCCGCGGUAAUACGGAGGAUGCGAGGGUUAUCCGGAUUUAUUGGGUUUAAGGGGUGCGUAGGCGGAAUAUCAAGUCAGCGGUAAAAAUUCGGGGCUCAACCCCGUCGUGCCGUUGAAACUGACGUGCUUGAGUGGGCGGGAAGUAUGCGGAAUGCGUGGUGUAGCGGUGAAAUGCAUAGAUAUGACGCAGAACUCCGAUUGCGAAGGCAGCAUACCGGCGCCGAACUGACGCUGAAGCACGAAAGCGCGGGUAUCGAACAGGAUUAGAUACCCGUGUAGUC
rnacentral:rRNA from 1 species